rnacentral:rRNA from 1 species
UAACGAGGUCCGGUUGCACAGACAGCUAGGAUGUUGGCUUGGAAGCAGCCAUUCAUUUAAAGAGUGCGUAACAGCUCACUAGUCGAGCGAUCGGGCAUGGAUAAUAAACGGGCAUCAAGUAUAUUACCGAAGCUAUGGAUUUACGUUGAAAGAUACGUGAGUGGUAGGGGAGCAUUCUACUAUCGGUGAAGCAGAUACGUAAGUUACUGUGGAGAGAGUAGAAAAGCAAAUGUAGGCAUAAGUAACGAUAAGGCGGGAGAGAAACCCGCCCACCGAAA